CCUCUCCCAACCGUGCGACCACUCCUCCAUCUCCCCAUCUUCUUCUUCUCCUUCUUUGAAACCCAGCAGCUGCAGAAGAUUAGCCGGAGCAGCCGCGCGCCUCUGCUCGUUGCACGCCCUCGCCGGACCGCCGUUAGCCGGCCCUCCCCUUCUUCUUGUUGCUUCCGUUGACCCUCCCUCCUCCAUUUCUUCUUGUUUCUCGAGGAACCCAGCACGCCGAGCAGACCAGCGAAGCUGGAGAAGCCGCACGUCGCCUGGAGCCGCCGCACGCCGUCGCCGUUCGUCGCUCCUCGCGCGCGCGCAGCCCUUGCUCCUCGCCUGCCCGUGCUUGGCCGAAGCCCAGCCGCCCUCGUUUGUCUCGGUCCGCACAUUCCAGGAGCUGCCGGAGCUUGUCCCCGCCGCCGUGAGCCACCGUACGCCUCCGCCUCAGCCCGCCGGAGCCCCACCUAGCCCUCUCGGCCCUUGCAUGCUCCAACCGAGCUCGGAUCUGCCCUCUCUCCGGCCUCAGCCAGCAGCGAACGGAGAGGAGAAAAAUGGGUAUGGCAGUGGCUUCGUGGCCCGUUUUGGCCGGCUUCCCGACCCCGGAAGCUAGGCCCGCCUUGAGACUAUCGAUCCUCGCGUCGUCCCCGUCGAUUUGAGCCGCUCGGAUCGCUAAUCGGGUUCUCGAAUGAGCAGCACCGAGUUUUUACCGUGCCGCGAGCCAUGACAUUGCUGCCGUUGUUGAGCUGAGAUCAGUUUGGUGCCUUCCCGCAGCAAAAUCGUUCUUUAUUUUGCAGGUUCGCUGUGAGACUAUCUCGGUGAACAUCUGAGCAUCCUCCUUACCGUCAGCCCAUGCUUAUGCGUGGUCACCACCUCCAUCGAGAAGUCCCCACAGUGAGUUGUUCCUCCAUAGUCGAGAAUUACUAGACUAGAAGGCUUCGCCGAGUAGCCCGUAACGAGAGUCCCAUCGUCGGCCCGCAUGUGACACCAUCACCGUGGAUUCCUCAUCGACAAAGCUGCUGCCGCGCUGAGACCAACUUCAGGCGUAAACAGAGGGGAUCAUCAAGCUAUCAAGGGAGUUAUCAAUUCUCAAUAAAAAUUCCACUUUUCUUUCUCUAUAGUCACGUACAAGGGACACAUAUCAUGCCCAUGUGAACCCCUGAAAAUAAGAGAAGAAGAGUUUUCUGGUUU